UUCUCGUACGAUCACUGAAGUUAAGCAGCGUAGAGCCAGGUCAGUACUUAGAUGGGGGACCGCUUGGGAACACCUGGUACUGUAAGC